rnacentral:rRNA from 1 species
UACGUAGGGUGCAAGCGUUAAUCGGAAUUACUGGGCGUAAAGCGUGCGCAGGCGGUGAUGUAAGUCAGGUCUGAAAUCCCCGGGCUUAACCUGGGAACUGCAUUUGUGACUGCAUCGCUGGAGUGCGGCAGAGGGGGAUGGAAUUCCGCGUGUAGCAGUGAAAUGCGUAGAUAUGCGGAGGAACACCGAUGGCGAAGGCAAUCCCCUGGGCCUGCACUGACGCUCAUGCACGAAAGCGUGGGGAGCAAACAGG